rnacentral:lncRNA from 1 species
GUGGCUGAAGGAACAAGGCUAUGAUGUCAUCGCCUAACUGGCCAACAUUGGCCAAAAGGAAGACUUUGAGGAAGCCAGGAAGAAGGAGCUGAAGCUUGGGUCUCUAAAGGUGUUCAUUGUGGAUGUAAGCACAGAGUUUGUGGAAGAGUUCAUCUGGCCUGCUGUACAGUCCAGUGCACUCUAUGAGGAUUGCUGUCUCCUGGGUACCUCUCUUGCCAGACCUUGCAUAGCUUGCAGACAGGUGGAAAUUGCCCACUGCGAAGAGGCCAAGUAUGUCUCAAGGCUCCACGGGAAAGGGGAGCAACCAGGUCUGCUUUGAACUCACCUGCUACUCAUUGGCACCCCAGAUUAAGGUCAUCGCCCCCUGAAGGAUGCCUGAGUUUUACAACAGGCUCAAGGGCCAAAAUGAUUUGAUGGAGUACGCAAAGCAACAUGGAAUCCCCAUCCUUGUCACCCCCAAGAACUCCUGGAGCAUGGAUGAGAACCUUAUGCACAUCAGCUACAAGGCUGGAAUCCUGGAAAACCCAAGAACCAAGCACCUCCAGACCUCUACACAAAAACUCAGGACCUGCCAAAGCACCCAACAGCCCAGUUGUCCUUGAGAUAGAAUUCAAAAAAGGGGUCCUGUGAAGGUGACCAACAUCAAAGAUGGCACUACCCACAGCACGUCCUCAGAUCUCUUCAUGUAUCUGAACAAAGUUGCGGGCAAGCACGGAGUGGGUCGCAUUAACAUCGUGAAGAACCACUUCAUUAAUCAAGUCCCGGAGUAUCUACAAGACUCCAGCAGGGGCCAUCCUUUACCACACUCAUUUAGAUAUAGAGGCCUUCACCAUGGAUUGGGAAUUAUGCAAAAUCAAGCAUGGCCUGGGCCUCAAAUUUGUAGAGCUUAUAUACACGGAUUUCUGGCACAGCCCUAAAUGUGAAUUUGUUCACCACUACAUUGAGAAGUCCCAGGAGCGGGUGGAAGGGAAGGAGC